rnacentral:rRNA from 2 species
UGACAAUUCCCGUUGAUCCUGCGGGAGAUUGCUGCUAUUGGGAUUCGACUAAGCCAUGCAAGUCUUCCAGCAAUGGAGGCGAAAGGCUCAGUAACACGUCGGUAACCUGCCCUAUGGUUAGGGAUAACCUCGCGAAAGUGAGGGUAAAACCUAAUAUGGAACAAGCCCUGGAAUGGGCUCUUUCUGAAACUCGUGCCAUAGGAUGGGCCGGCGGCGGAUUAGGCUGUUGGCGGUGUAAUGGACCACCAAACCUAAGAUCCGUACGGGCCAUGAGAGUGGUAGCCCGGAGAGGGACACUGAGAUACUGGUCCCAGCCCCACGGGGUGCAGCAGGCGCGAAACCUUUACAAUGCACGCAAGUGUGAUAGGGGGAUCCCAAGUGCUUAUCAUUGAUAGGCUUUUGCCAAGUUUAAACCGCUUGGCGAAUAAGGGGUGGGAAAGACUGGUGCCAGCCGCCGCGGUAACACCAGCGCCCCAAGUGGCAAUCGCGAUUAUUGGGCCUAAAGCGUCCGUAGCAGGUCUUGUAAAUCUUUUGUGAAAUCGGCAAGCUUAACUUGUCGGCGUGCAGAGGACACUGCAAGACUCGAGACCGGGAGAAGUCAGAAGUAUUCCUUGGGUACCGGUAAAAUGGGUUAAUCCAAGGAAGACUACCAAUGGCGAAGGCAUCUGACCAGAACGGAUCUGACUGUGAGGGACGAAAGCCAGGGGAGCAAAACGGAUUAGAUAUCAAAAAUCUUGCAGAUUUUUGGACUUACUCAAAAAAUGAGUAAGUACGAGAUAUUUUCAUUUUUGUCAAUAAUAAAUUACUGUGAAAAUAUCUCAAAUUCCAUCAAGAUUUUUGACUAAGUACCCGAGUAGUCCUGGCCGUAAACGCUGCGAGCAAGGUAUUGUGUAUCCCACGAGGAUGUGCAGUGUCGAAGCGAAGGCGUUAAGCUCGCCGCCAGGGAAGUACGGUCGCAAGGCUGAAACUUUAAGGAAUUGGCGGGGAGACACCACAAGGGGUGCGGCGUGCGGUUCAAUCUAACUCAACGCAGAGAACCUCACUAGGCCCGACGGCAGAAUGAAGGUCAUGCUGAAGACAUUACCUGACAAGCCGAGAGGUAGUGCAUGGCCAUCGCCAGCUCGUGCUGUGAAGUGUCCAGUUAAGUCUGGCAACGAGCGAGACCUGUACCCUCUAUUGCUAACAACCACUGCGGUGGGAUUGAGCACUUUGAGGGGACCGCCUCGGAAACGGGGAGGAAGGUGCAGGCUACGGUAGGUCUGUAUGCUCCGAAUGGUCUAGGCUACACGCGCGCAACAAUGGUAUGGACAAUGGGAUGCCACUCCGAAAGGAGGAGCUAAACCUCUAAACCAUAUCUUAGUUCAGAUCGAGGCUUGAAACUCAGCCUCGUGACGCUGGAAUCCCUAGUAAUCGGGUGUCAUCAUCGCCCGGUGAAUAUGUCCCUGUCUCUUGCACACACCGCCCGUCAAACCAACCGAGCAGGGUUUAGGUGAACCUCGACUUUUUUGGUCGUGCUGAACCUGAGCUCAGUGAGGUGGGUUAAGUCGUCACAAGGUCACCGUAGGGGAACCUGCGGUGGGAUCACCUCCUUU